rnacentral:rRNA from 1 species
UACAGAGGUCUCAAGCGUUGUUCGGAUUCAUUGGGCGUAAAGGGUGCGUAGGUGGCGCCGUAAGUCGGGUGUGAAAUUUCGGAGCUUAACUCCGAAACUGCAUUCGAUACUGCGGUGCUUGAGGACUGGAGAGGAGACUGGAAUUCAUGGUGUAGCAGUGAAAUGCGUAGAUAUCGGUAGGAACACCAGUGGCGAAGGCGGUCUCCUGGGGCAUUCUUGACGCUGAGGCGCGAAAGCUGGGGGAGCAAACGGG